UACGAAGGGGGCAAGCGUUGUUCGGAUUUACUGGGCGUAAAGCGCACGUAGGCGGCUUGGUCAGUUAGAGGUGAAAUCCCGAAGCUCAACUUCGGAACUGCCUUUAAUACUGCCAGUCUAGAGUCCGGAAGAGGUGAGUGGAACUCCUAGUGUAGAGGUGGAAUUCGUAGAUAUUAGGAAGAACACCAGUGGCGAAGGCGGCUCACUGGGCCGGUACUGACGCUGAGGUGCGAAAGCGUGGGGAGCAAACAGG
rnacentral:rRNA from 1 species